GUACACUCCUGCGGGAGGCAGCAGUGGGGAAUAUUGCACAAUGGGCGCAAGCCUGAUGCAGCCAUGCCGCGUGUAUGAAGAAGGCCUUCGGGUUGUAAAGUACUUUCAGCGGGGAGGAAGGCGAUAAGGUUAAUAACCUUGUCGAUUGACGUUACCCGCAGAAGAAGCACCGGCUAACUCCGUGCCAGCAGCCGCGGUAAUACGGAGGGUGCAAGCGUUAAUCGGAAUUACUGGGCGUAAAGCGCACGCAGGCGGUCUGUCAAGUCGGAUGUGAAAUCCCCGGGCUCAACCUGGGAACUGCAUUCGAAACUGGCAGGCUAGAGUCUUGUAGAGGGGGGUAGAAUUCCAGGUGUAGCGGUGAAAUGCGUAGAGAUCUGGAGGAAUACCGGUGGCGAAGGCGGCCCCCUGGACAAAGACUGACGCUCAGGUGCGAAAGCGUGGGGAGCAAACAGGAUUAGAUACCCGGGUAGUCCC
rnacentral:rRNA from 1 species